GAUGGUCAUUCUUCAACAAGACGGUAUGUUUCGGUAUAUUUCUGAGGGUCACACUGGUCCCACUUGACGCGUACCAAAUUUGACAUCUACGGAAAGCGGCGCAAGAUUGUGUGAAAAAGUUGCGCAACUGCUGUACUUCAUGGCUGGCCGGCGAUGCUGCCAACAAUUCCCAUGCACAUUUCGGUCGUCAGAGCACGACAUUUUCAUGCGAUAAGCCAGCUCUUUGGGCUUGCGGGCGCAAUGCGUGUUUAAUAAUGGCGAAAUUAUCAAAGUAUUCAAGCAAGCUUGCCGCCAUUACUUGGAGGAGCCGAAAAUAAUGACAUUCUCGCCUUCGACGGCAAUAAACAUGCUAACCAGGUUGGGACGAUCAGGCAACUUGGGAAAAGAUGAACUGAAAUUGAGCUCAGAUUACAUUCCACAGCGUGGGUGUGUUGCUGAAAUUGUUGGGCCUCAUCUACCAUUUCCGACGAUCAUGGCGCCUACGCCGCGUGUCAAGGACGAUACCCAGCGCAAUUUACUGAACAAAUUUCCCGGCUAUCCGU